GACGAACGCUGGCGGCGUGCUUAACACAUGCAAGUCGAGCGGUAAGGCCCUUUCGGGGGUACACGAGCGGCGAACGGGUGAGUAACACGUGGGUGACCUGCCCUCAGCUCUGGGAUAAGCCUGGGAAACCGGGUCUAAUACUGGAUAUGACUCCAUGACGCAUGUUGUGGGGUGGAAAGCCUUGUGCGGCUGAGGAUGGGCCCGCGGCCUAUCAGCUUGUUGGUGGGGUGANGGCCUACCAAGGCGACGACGGGUAGCCGGCCUGAGAGGGCGACCGGCCACACUGGGACUGAGACACGGCCCAGACUCCUACGGGAGGCAGCAGUGGGGAAUCUUGCGCAAUGGGCGAAAGCCUGACGCAGCGACGCCGCGUGAGGGAUGACGGCCUGGUUGUAAC
rnacentral:rRNA from 1 species